CUCAAGCCUCCUGAGUAGCUGGGACUAUAGGCAUUCACCAACAUGCCUGGCUAAUUUUUUUGUAUUUUUAGUAGAGACCGGAUUUCACCAUGUUAGCCAGGAUGAUCUCGAGCUGCUGACCUCGUGAUCCUCCCACCUUGGCCUCCCAAAGUGCUGGGAUUACAGGUGUGAGCCGCCAUGCCUGGCCAGUAAAUGCAGUAGGUCUUUAACUUCAAAGUGUUACCUCUUCACUUUGCUGAUUGCUUCCUUUGCUGUUCAGAAGUUUUUAACUUGAUGUCAUCACAUUUGUCCAUUUAUGCUGUGGUUGCCUAUGCUUGUGCUGGUGAUAUGGUGGUGACAAAGGAUGAAAAGCACUACUCUCAGUAACCUGAAAGUGGACUGAUGAAGAGAUCGUGUGACAGCAACCAGUUGAAAUCAUCAGGCCUUUAAUGAAAAUCUACAUUGCAAAAUGUCUGAGGAGAUGAAAGAAAAGGAAAGGGGAAGUCAGAUUAGUCAUGAAAACUCACGCCAUUUAUCAAUACAAUUCAAAGUCCAGAAAAUACCACUACUCAUUAAAGAAACAAAUAUUUAGGGAAGAGACACCACUAGCAAAAUCGAGGUAUAAUUUUAGUAUUUAUGUAAUAUAUAGGUAUUAUAUAGAAAAGUAUUAAUUUUAAAGAAGUACUUUUUAUCAGAAUAUUAAUGUUAAUAAAAAUGAUGGUGUAUCAAUUCAGUUUUCAAAGAUAGAUGGUCACCUUUCUAUGAGAAUAAAUAGCUACUGUUUCAAGUUCUGUGAUCUAGGAAUCAAGGUUAUAAUGUUAGUUGUUUUACAAUGAAAGUUAUAGUAUCCACUGUAAAGACAGGGAUUUUUUUAUGUGAACAAGAUUAUAAAAUGGAAAUAGAUACAUAUAUAUCCAAGCUUUGGUCUCCAUUACAUAAACUGAAAUCUAUAAAAUAAAUUUAAAACUCAACUUGAAAUAUACAUAUGGUGAAUAAAAAC
rnacentral:lncRNA from 10 species